AGUGAGUAAGAACAAUAACUUUUCUUUUUAUUUGUCCACUAGUAUUCAUGGGGGCCCAUAGGGAUAUCCUACUAUGCGUGAAUCAAUAUUCAACAUUGUCAACUAACUGGUCAUUCUCAUACUCCAUCCGGUAUGAGCGUCAAAAUUAUUAUCCCUCAAUAUCCCGUUCAGUAUGAGGUUGAAUCAGGUCGUCCCCAUACCCCGUCCGGUAUGAGCACCAAAAAUAUAAUUCCUCGAUAUCCCGUCUGGUAUGAAGUAACGUUCACGAUAGGGUUCCUUAUGUACCUGGUCCGUCCACCAUCACCCAGGAUAUUCAAUAAGUAUACCAUUCAUUAAUUCACAUGACCAAACAAUUUUUUAUUUGCAUAUUA
rnacentral:lncRNA from 1 species